GCGGGGCGGGGCCGAGGCGGCGAGUGUCUGGGCGAGCGUGGCUGGGCCCGGUCCUGGGCUGGGGGCAGGGGCUAGGGCCGGGUCCCGGGGUGAGCCGAAACCUGGGGGUCGGGCGGGGCGGGAAAUGGGGCGCAGUGAGGCUGGGAGCCGGCCCUGAGCUCGUCCUGCGUAGGGGUAGCCGGGCUCAGGGGGCGCCUGAGCUGGAGGUGGAAGCGUGAAGUCAGGACUGAGUGGGCGAAGAGAACCUGGGCUGAGACAUGGCCGCUUACCAACAAGAAGGGCAGAUGCAGCUUCCCCGAGCUGAUGCCAUUCGUUCACGUCUCAUCGAUACUUUCUCUCUCAUCGAGCAUUUGCAAGGCUUGAGCCAAGCUGUGCUGCGACACACUAUCAGGAGUUACUUGAUCCUUCCCGCCAGAAGAAACUUAUGUUGGGAGAUCAACACCAGCUAGUGGGCGUCUCUAUAAAGCCUCAACGUAUAGAACAGAUUUCACAUGCCCAGAGGCUGUUGAGCAGGCUUCAUGUGCGCUGCAGUCAGAGGCCACCUCUUUCUUUGUGGGCCGGAUGGGUCCUUGAGUAAUUGCUGGAAUCCACAAAUACCAAACUAUGGCCAUUGAAGCUGACCUUGGAGGGGGCAGCUUGGUUUAUCUUGCUUAUUUUCAUCCUGGAGAUCCUUCUUAAGUGGCUAUCCAACUUUUCUGUUUUCUGGAAGAGUGCCUGGAAUGUCUUUGACUUUGUUGUUACCAUGUUGGUAAGGAUAGAGAUCCUGAGGGUUCGUUUAGUGGGAUGAAGAAUGUGCCUAGGUGAAUCGAAAGAACAAGUUAACAUGAUAAUAGGAAGAAACAAAAAUUUACUUAACUUCUUUCUUUUGAUUUUUUUUUCCUAAAACUAAACAUCAAUCAUUGCAGGAGUUGUUGGUAUUAGGAGCAAAGUAGACUAACUACAACAUCAAUGCCAACAAGAGCAUCUGCCGGUUACUGAGCACUUACUAAGUGCCAAGCACUAUUUUAAGUGUUUUCCUUACAUUAUCUCAUUUAUGCUCCACAACAACCUAAUUAAAUAACCAUGAAUUUUA
ensembl:lncRNA CATSPER2P1 CATSPER2 pseudogene 1